AGAGUUUGUUCCUGGCUCAGGAUGAACGUUGGCGGCGUGCCUAAUACAUGCAAGUCGAACGGAGAUUGUAGCAAUACGGUCUCAGUGGCGAACGGGUGAGUAACGCGUUGGUGACCUGCCCCGAAGUGUGGAAUAACAGAUCGAAAGAGCUGCUAAUACCGCAUAAUAUCCAGGAGAUUAGAUGCUUCUGGAUUAAAGGAUUUAUCCGCUUCGGGAGGGGCCUGCGUCCCAUCAGCUAGUUGGUAAGGUAAAGGCUUACCAAGGCGAUGACGGGUAGGGGACCUGAGAGGGUGGCCCCCCACAAUGGAACUGAAACACGGUCCAUACACCUACGGGUGGCAGCUGUAGGGAAUAUUAGUAAUGGGCGAAAGCCUGAACUAGCAACGCCGCGUGUGCGAAGAAGGCCUUCGGGUUGUAAAGCACUUUUUGAGAGGAUGAGGAAGGACGGUACUCUCAGAAUAAGUCUCGGCUAACUACGUGCCAGCAGCCGCGGUAACACGUAGGAGGCAAACGUUAUCCGGAUUUACUGGGCGUAAAGCGCGUGUAGGUGGUACUGUAAGUAGGGCGUGAAAGCUCCUGGCUCAACUGGGAGAGGCCGUUCUAAACUACAGAACUAGAGGAUGGUAGAGGGAGGUGGAAUUCCAGGUGUAGCGGUGGAAUGCGCAGAUAUCUGGAGGAACACCGGUGGCGAAGGCGGCCUCCUGGACCAUUCCUGACACUCAGACGCGAAAGCUAGGGUAGCAAAACGGGAUUAGAGACCCCGGUAGUCCUAGCCCUAAACGAUGUAGACUAGGCGUCGGAAGCUUAAUCGCUUUCGGUGUCCAAGCUAACGCGAUAAGUCUACCGCCUGGGGACUACGGCCGCAAGGUUAAAACUCAAAGGAAUUGACGGGUCCCCGCACAAGCAGCGGAGCGUGUGGUUUAAUUUGUUGCUACACGAAGAACCUUACCUGGGUUUGACAUAGCAGUGGUAGGGAAGCGAAAGCGGACCGACCCUUCGGGGAGCUGUUACAGGUGCUGCAUGGCUGUCGUCAGCUCGUGUCGUGAGAUGUUCGGUUAAGUCCGCUAACGAGCGCAACCCGCGUUGUGUGUUACAAGUGUCACACAAUACCGCCGGUAUUAAGUCGGAGGAAGGUGCGGAUGACGUCAAGUCAGCAUGACCUUUAUAUCCAGGGCUACACACACGCUACAAUGGUCAGCACAAUAGGUUGCCAAGUCGUGAGACGGAGCCGAUCCUCCAAAGCUGGCCUCAGUUCAGAUUGCAGGCUGCAACUCGCCUGCAUGAAGUUGGAGUUGCUAGUAACCGCAGGUCAGCUAUACUGCGGUGAAUACGAACCCGGGGAUUGUACUCACCGCCCGUCA
rnacentral:rRNA from 1 species